rnacentral:rRNA from 1 species
GAUAAACGCUGGCGGCGUGCCUAAUACAUGCAAGUCGAUCGCUGGAGCUCAAGUUUGCUUGAGUGAAGGAGAGGCGAACGGGUGAGUAAUACAUAAGCAACCUGCCCACGAAGACUGGGAUAAUCUCUGGAAACGGGGACUAAUACCGGAUAGGUGACAAGAUCGCAUGAUCAUGUCAUUAAAGAUUCAAAGCACUGGUGGAUGGGCUUAUGGCGCAUCAGCUGGUUGGUGAGGUAACGGCCCACCAAGGCGAUGAUGCGUAGCCGGCCUGAGAGGGUGAACGGCCACAUUGGGACUGAGACACGGCCCAG